UUGAAACAGAAAUGCAAUCUAUUAUACCAUACUGGAUAAGGCUGGCCGGAGGAGCUGUGUGGCUACUGAGUUUUCCAUCCACUAUAUCCAGUGCCUUCUAAGAACUGAGUCUAUGGGCCCAGUGGGUCCAUAGAUUCAAUAUACACAGUUUUUGUGGGCCUCUCUAUUUCCUCCAAUGUGAUUCUAUGGAAUAUAGGGUUCACUGUUAUUCACAGUUUCCGUUAUCCAUGGGGAGAUCUCAGAACAUAUUCCCUUCAACACUACUCCACCAGUGUUGUGAGAACUAAAAAAAUAUUCCUUUCAUAAUUAUGAAUAUGGCUUUGAAUAUAGCUUGGAUAAAAACUAUGUAUUUGGCAUAAGGACAGAUAUGUUUGUAAGGAGUCACUUGAUGUGGAAAUGUUGCAUGUUUUUAUGGCCUUGCUAGAGAUAGCUGAAAUGUGGCCUUUACAGAUAAAUUCUAACGGACAGCUUUGCUAUUUUUAAAGAUGGCAAAAUGUUGCUUUUUUGCAGACAAUUUUGAAACCUCAGAGCCUUGCUACAGCUUUGACAGAGAUAAAAUAAUGUUGCUCUUUGCAGGUGUACACAUGCUUCUACUCCAUACUGUAACUUUGAUAAAACUCCCGACUUGCCUAUCGAUAGACAUGCUUGUCUGUAAUUAUAAUUAUGUAAUUGUUAUUUUAGAAAGUUAGAGAGUUGCUCUGCAGGUCUUUAGGAAGAUUGUAACCCUCCAUGAAGGGAGGGACCAAUGGCUGUGGAAAAGGGGAAUAUAAACAUGUGCUGAACUUUG